rnacentral:rRNA from 1 species
CAGUAGCCGCGGUAACACGUAGGUGGCAAGCGUUGUCCGGAAUUAUUGGGCGUAAAGGGCUCGCAGGCGGUUUCUUAAGUCUGAUGUGAAAGCCCCCGGCUCAAUCGGGGAGGGUCAUUGGAAACUGGGAAACUUGAGUGCAGAAGAGGAGAGUGGAAUUCCACGUGUAGCGGUGAAAUGCGUAGAGAUGUGGAGGAACACCAGUGGCGAAGGCGACUCUCUGGUCUGUAACUGACGCUGAGGAGCGAAAGCGUGGGGAGCGAACAGGAUUAGAUACCCGGGUAGUCCCUGUCUCUUAUAC